AGAUCCUUCCAUGUUAGAUAUAGAUCCGGGUCGAUAAAGACCCGAAUAUGUAAGAAUGAUUGGCGAAACAGUCAUGCAUUUAAGGGUUAAAAACAUACUACCACGUGUGUAGCCAUGUGACUCUGCCCUGUCAGUCAUGGAAUCAACACAGAGGUGAACGUCGAGUCAUGCUAGCGGUGAUCUUUGCGUCUUCACUAAACUUUGUCAGUUGUAUGUGUUUUACGGUUUGCCAGUUUGGACAUUCAAGCGAUUAGACAAUCAAAUGUGUAUUAUUACAUUGAGCUACCAGCUCACGCAGCUGCAUUUUGGCAUGAACACUCAUACAAUACAGUAGCUGCACAAAACGCGCGCACAGAUUAAUGUAGAAACUAGUUGUCAGUGCUGUUCAGUGAUUUAUCACUAAAGUAGCUUAGAAACUUAAAAGUUAUAGCAUAUAUUUUUCUACUUUUGAAGGAACUAUUUACAACCCACAGCUUCACAAUGAAUAGAGAGACGAUAUGACUAAUUCACACACGCAGUCUCUCUCAUUAUGUACUGGUCUGUAAGAAAUGUUACGAACCACAAAUUAAAUAAAAAAUUUUUUUACAUAUUUUUUGUUAAGUAACUUCUUGCAAAACAUGUACAAAGUGCAAACAUAAAUAGUUAAAAUUUAUACAAAAAUGUUUGUAAUAUUACUGCAUUUUUUAAAGCAUGACAAGAAGAAUGAAGAGAAAAGACAUAAGAAAAAUUUAUAAAAAAUAAAUAUCAUUAUAAAAAACAAGUAUUAGAUUUUUUUUUUAAAUUGCCAGUACACCACUAAAACAAAACCAAUAAACACAGAACAACAACCUUGUAUGGGAUCAAAAUAUUCAUAAAUGACAAAAAGUUAACCAGCCUAUCUUAAAAAAAAAAAUAAUAAUAAUAAUAAAAGAAAGAGAGAGAGAGAGAGAAAAUUUUAAAAAGUGUGCUCAAAAACUUCCUCCCCAUAUCUCACUCAGCUCUUUCAUUAAGGGUUUCCACUGUUCAACAAACAGACCCGUUUUGAGUCGUAAGCUGUACGUUAUUUUUCCAUUCCAUAGAUUUCCCUCACUGUCCACAAUCCUCAAGUGUUGGUGGCACUUUCUGGAGCCAUUUAAUUGUAAUGUUCUUCUUUGCAGCAACUAGGAUUAUUCGUAGUGUAACGUCUACCAGAGGGUUUGGAGUCUGCCCAGAUGAAAAUUAGAAAACAGGAGGCGAGAAGAAAAACCCGAGGCAAAUGCACUGGUAGUCCCACGAGUCUUUAUAGAUGGUUCGCACAAUAUAGCACACUCUUCACAUACAUGUAAAAGAGCGAGGAUAAACAGGAAAAAGAAAGCACUCUGAUAAACGCUACGAAUCAAAGUGGAAAAGUAACAUUAUUAAACUGUAACAUCAGUCAGCAGUAGAGCAGUCAUCUCUCUCUCGUCACACGAGCAUUCUCUAUCAACUCUGUGCGUGCGCGCUCACAUGAGAACAGCGUGCACACUACAACGUACGCCAUAGAAGAAGUUAUCUUAAAGGCACAUCAACAUAAAUGUCAUGAACAAUAUUUAACAUAAUUUAGGUGGCCGUUACAGUAGGGGUUACCUUUUCUUCUCGCUUUUUAUUAAAUUUGGUUUAACUCCCAAAAUAGCUAUUAAAGGGUCAAAUUAAAGGGGUUAAAUGGGCAAAUUAACCUGAACAUUUUUAUUAAUGAAACACAAUACAUUUGUCCAGUAAGGAACUAUAAUAGGACAGUCCCAAAAGAUGCACACUCCCUCCAACAGGAACUGAACUGAUUUGAAUUAAAUUUGGCUACGAUUUGGGGCAUUCAAAAAUAUCGAUUAGUGACCUUCCAAUUAUAUUUUCUCCAGAUUCUACUUCAUGUCACUCUGUGUUUCUACAUGUAUUUCAGCCCAGUUCUCAUCAGAUAUCAUUACCUUAAAGGGGCUCUAUUUAGGAAUGACACCCAGUGUUCAAAAUAGGUACUGCAGUCCAAAUUCAAAAUAUUGUUUUUCCCAUCCCCUUGUUCAAAGACACGGUUGCCAGCAACAAUAGGUAGCGCAAUUCACACUGUAAGCUGAUGAGUUGAUUUAUCUGUUUUAAUAUGCUGUUGUUCAUAGAUAUUUAGAUCUGCGAUUCUCUGACCCAGUUUGUUUGUUGGUUUCCAUGGCUACAAUACGCCAUGUUUUCCGCCAACUGGCAACCUGUGAUGUUGAAAUACUAUCAACUGGCAGCACACUGGUUUCACACAGAACACAAAACAAAUUCCGACACGGAACGCACAUUUUCAAAGUAGAAUAUCUGGCUGUAGUGUUGUUUUUCUGAUAAACAAGUAGGUGAACCAAGCAUGUUUCUUCAUAUCCUCCAGAGCCCUGUAUAUACAGUUCAUUGGUCUAAGAAUCUUGCCACCAGUCUGAAAAUUAAACAACAAAAUCUCAAUUGCUGAUGGGGUAGUUUUUAACAUUUUCCAAUUCAGAUGUUUAAAAAUGAAACUUCAAAUCUGGAGAUACCUAUAAAAUUCAGUCUUGGGGAGAGCGAAUUCAGUAGCAAGUUUUCAAAAGUUUUAAGUGUUUCUCCUUCAAAAAGUUGAUGAACAUAUUGCAAUUGCUUCAGGGCCCAGACUUUGAAACCAGAAUCCAUUUUUUAAGGGAGUAAAAUUUCUAAUUUGUGUUAUGCUUGUUAACAAAGGAAGUCCUUCUCUCUCUCGCUCGCUCCUGCUUCUCCUGGCAUUUUAUACUCUCUCCACGCCAAUUACUGAAAAAAGAGACAGGUGUUUGUUAUUUGCGCUUAACCCACUCACUCACCGUGUGUCUCCUGCCUCUCUCUCCCGCUGCAGAUUCCGCUGAACCACACCCCCCUUGCCACAUACCCCCACCGCCCGACUCAGGCCUGGGAACCGUCCGGCCUUUAAAAGGCUGUAAAGCUAGAUACCAACGGGCGAUCCGCGCGUUGGUAUCCUUCAUGCAGUGGAGCCACUGCAAAGGAGCGUGGUCCGAACAGAGGGUGAAUUCCCGUCCCAGGAGAUAAUAGCGGAGGGUGAGGACGGCCCACCUGAUGGCCAAACACUCCUUCUCCACGGUGCUGUACUUAGUCUCUCUCUUAGAGAGCUUCCGACUAAUGUACAGCACCGGCCGUUCCUCCCCCUCUAUCUCCUGGGACAGGACUGCACCCAGCCCCCUGUCUGAUGUGUCAGUCUGCAACUCAAAAGGGAGAGAAAAAUCAGGAGAGAGAAAAAAUGGCCCGCCACACAGAGCAGCCUUUACCUGGGUAAACGCCUGCUGGCACGGCUCUGUCCAUUGAACCGUAUAUGGUGCUUCCUUUUUAGUAAGAUCAUUUAAGGGGCUGGUGAGGUCCGAAUAAUUAGGCACAAACCUUCUGUAAUAUCCCGCCAGCCCCAAGAACUGUCUCACCUCCUUUUUGGUCUUGGGGCACGGACAGGUCGCAAUAUGGAAUUACAUUUGAUCCAAAAAUAAUUAACAUAACUUUUCAAAAAAACUAAUAAAAAUAUAAAUUGAAACUGAAUAAAAUGUCUUUGAAACUUAAAAAAAUAAAUCGCAGGCAAAAUGUUUGACUUUGUUUUUAAUACACUGCAUGUUUUGCUAACAGUUUCUUUUCUUUCUUUCACUGAUCUUUACUUACAAAAGCAUUUCCAGAGUUUUCAUUUAUGCUUCUGAAGUUUUCGUUUACGAUCCCAGAGUUUUCGUUCGUUUUUCUGGCACAAAUCUCUCGUGGGGGCGGGGCCAGCAGUGGUGUGUUCUCAUUGGCUACUGAGUUUUUGACUGACAGCUUCUUCUUGACCUGGAAGUGAAGACGUCAAUGUUGUGUUUACAUGUGUGGAGGUGAGCGUCUGUAAGCGGCUUCUUAUUUCAUUUAAAGAUAUGAGUUUUGUUUUUGAAUUUUAUCUGUAUUUAUCUGCGGCUUCUACUUUGUCGACAUAAACUUUUAGGAGCGUGAGAGAUCAAACGCGAGAGAAAAUGAAUGUCUUGAGGUUUAAUUUUACAUUAAAGGUUAUAAUACUGAAGAUAUUGCAUACUGUCCAAUGUUUUUGGAGAAUAUUUGAUUAUUUCUGAUGAUUCUUCUCUAUUGUUGGGUCUGAUUAGGUUGUGCUGUUACAAUUUAAAGAGAAUACUAGUAUCAUAUACAUGUAUAUAUUCAGCCGUCAAGAAAGUCUCACUCCAACCAGGUAAUCAAGGUUGGCAACCAUGGCCAUCACUCUACCCAUUGUUAGCAUAUGCACAUACACCAUCACAAUUAAUGAUCACUCAAUUCUGAAGGAUUCAAACAAUAUGAAAAUAACAGUCGUGGCUUGCUGUAAGACGGUAUAGACCUCAAAGGGCAUUUCAGUACUCCACACAAUGAAUGAUCUUGUUGCCAUUUUUUAUCAUUAUAAUAAUUUUAUUUAGUUAUUUUAUUUAGUUAAGAUUAUCAUCUAACAUAUAAAAGUAGAUUUUUUUUUAACAAUCAUCAACAGUUUCAAUUGUGACUUAUAUAAAAAAAAACAGUUGAAUAAAUGUAAAUGAAAAUAUGAAUCAAUUCAAAUAAAUUUAAAUUCUUUAUUGUCACUACAGCAUACACACAGGUAUCAAAGUGAAAGUGUUUGAUGCAAUUAUGUUGUGAAAGGAACGACCAGAAUCCACAAAACACUAACUACAUAUUCAUGUAAUGCACAGUAUUCUCAUGAUAUACAGUACAUUACUAUAAAAAUGCACAAGCACCUAUUAUAGAAUACAUGUGUAAAAUUCAUAAAAUUCGUUUUAUUACCAUUUUUUUUUUAAAUAUAGUGAAUAAACUGUAUUAAUGAAUGGAAUGAAAUGUUCAUGUUGUCUGAAUACAUUUUGGUUUGACUGUAUGACUUUCAUUCUCCACAUAAGCACAAAUAUCUUUAAGAAAAUAGUCCAUCUCUGUGAGCCCAUAAGUGGACUGUAACCCAUACACGUAUGAUGGUUGGUGGAAAACGGUUGUUAAUAAUUAAAACAGUUUAAAUUAUUAGUAUUUUUCUCAUCUAUUGUUUCACUUCAGAAGACAUUGAUUCAUCCACUGGGGUCGCAUGGAUUACUGUGUCUUUAGGACUCGAAGACAUAUUAUUUUCCUAAAAAUCCUAAUUCAUGUUUAUCUGUAGAAAGAAAGUAAUAUGCGUCAUGGACGGCAUGAGGGUGAGUAAAAUAUAUAAGAAUUUUUUUGGGGUGAACUAUCACUUUAACAUUCAUAUGUUGUUGGUAUGCUAAUCCAAGAUCAGUAUGGACUAAUAAGAAUAAAGUACAACCUCUUGUGUGUUUGUGAACUGUGUCUUGUUUUAAUCUAGAGCUCCAAAAACUUAAAAUAUUUGCAUAAUAUCAGGUGUCUGAAGAUCAAGAUCCAAGUCACUCAAAGGUGAUGUGUCUGAACAAAAUAAGAUUCUUGUCUGAUGAGGACAGUGGAUCUCUGGGGCUACCACUCCCUCCUCUGGGUCAGCAUCAGAAUUUUGUUAAUGGAAAAGUUGCUCCACUCCCUGGAAAAUAAGAAAUCAGAUGUAUUAUAAUCUAACAAUACAAACUGCUUUGAAUUCCCACAUAAAUUAUGCAGACUUAAAAUAUUUAUUUCAAACAAAUUAUAUAUAAUUUCAGCCAUAAUUACUUUCAUGUAUUAGGUUUUGCAUUUGGCCAUACAGUACUGUGCAAAAGUCUUAUCUUUGUUGUUUUAGCAAUGUUUACCACCCAUGUUUAUUUUUUGGUCUUUAUUACAAUGCAAACAGAAAAUACAGGAAAUAUGCACACAAAAAAAUCAGAACAAAAUUGAUUCUAUAAGCAAAGAUCAGUAUUUAACGUGACCUCCUAGACUUCCAGUUUUUUUCAAAGGAGAAACUUCUGAUCAGAUUUUGAAAGUUUUCUUGGCCUUCCAGUCACUUUCCAUUCCAUUUAGGUUUAAGAGAGCCAGGUUCUCACUAUUACUCAAGUGUAAGGAGAGGUCACUAAAUACUUGCCACUUUAGCCUGUAGAAGUCUUUUUUUUUUUUUUUUUUUCCUGUUUUUUAAUAAUGCUUACAAAUUUAAAGUAUUUCCUGGUCAUAUUCUAAUAAGAAGUCUGAAAAAAAAAACUAUAUGGUCACUAAACCAUUGCUAAAACAACAUCUAAUGGUGUCCUAAGACUUUUGCACAGUACUUUAUAUGUAUUAUUAUUAAAGACUACCUUUUCCCCUUUAAAUAUGAUCUAAUCCAAGGCUGUAUGUACAGUACAUAACCAGAUCCUGUAAUAAUUGGGUUAAAUCAAGACAACACUGCUGUAUAAAGUGGGCUCUAAAUGAGCUCUAAAAUACCUCUCCAUCUGAAAAAGCAAAAGCAAGUAAUGUUACUUAUAUUGAUUUUGUAAACGUAAAAAAUACUGACUUACCGUGAGUAUCCAGAUAACAAUAGGUUACUUGCAGAACUUGCGUUCUGAUAGCAUUAAGUGAGGUGUCUCACUGUGGGAUACGCCCUUUCUGCGUAUUCGUCAGAAGCUCUAUUACAUUACGCCAGCCCCAAUUGGCUGGCAGACGUGACGUCGUGUCAGGGAGUGGCUUCCCCACCCUUAGUAUAAAGGGAGCGACACAACGUCACUAAGACAUUCAAAACAAGCACACCUCUUCCUCGCUUCACACAGCAAGGAGGGUGAUCUGGUGAGACACCUCACUUAAUGCUAUCAGAGAACCGGGGUUACGCAAGUAACCUAUUGUUCUCUUUCAAGCAUACGUUUCGGUGUCUCACUGUGGGAUAUCCUAACUCCCGUAUUGCCAGAUAGCCUGUCUCGAAGUCUCCUACCAACCACAAUCACUGUAUCCGGGGGCGAAUGGUCAUAACUCGUGACUCAUAUUCCUACACUCAAAACUGCAUGUGCUAAAGUUUGAGCUGUAACAUCCAGCUUAUAAAACCUUGCAAAUGUAUGCAGCGAAGACCAACUCGCCACUUCACAAAUAUCCUGUGUCGUGACUCCUUUAAAUAGAGCCCACGAAGUUGACAUUCCCCUUGUCGAGUGUGCACGUAACCCAGGAGGUGGCACAAGACCCUUACUGGAAUAUGCCAAUGAAAUCGCUUCUAUCCAGUGCGAUAAACGUUGCUUAGUAAUCGGCUUCCCUGUACGAGGUUUCGUCCAAGAUACGAAAAGCUGAUCACUCUCCCUGAACCCUCUAGUUCUUUGUGUAUAAAUGCGUAAAGCACGCACUGGGCACAACGCAUUCAACUUUUGCUGUUCUGAUGAAGCAAAAGGUGGUGGAUGAAAGGCUCUCAGCUCAAGAGGUAUGAUAGCACCAAGUAUUUUGGGCAUGAAUGCAGGAUUGGGUUUCAGAACUACCCCUGCAUCACCAGGCAUGAACUGCAUACACGCUGAGUGCACUGAAAGCGCGUGAAUCUCGCUUACGCGCUUUGCCGAGGCCAAUGCUAACAGCGGCGCCGUCUUAAAUGAUAAUAUCUUGAAAUCAACCUUGUCCAGCGGCUCAAAUGGGGACAUGGAGAGAGCAUCAAGCACCAAACCCAAAUCCCAUGAGGGGGAAAGCGGUUUUGAAACUGGCAAAACGCGGCGCGCACCCUUCAUAGAACUUGCAUACCAAAGGAUGCUGCCCCACAGUUUUAUUAUCAAAACCAAUGUGGCAAGCAGAUAUAGCGGCCAGAAACACUUUUAUGGUUGAAAACGCUUUCCCUUGAUCUAUCAAAUCCUGAAGGAAUGAUAGAACAACUGCCACUGAACACUGAAAAGGAAUUUCGUGUUUGGUUGCGCACCAGCGCUCAAACACACCCCAUUUGCAUUCAUAAAGAGACCUAGUUGACGAGGCUCUAGAAUUUUGUAUGGUUCUGAUAACGCUGUCAGGUAGGCCAGUUGUAUUUAAAUUGAACCACUCACGGGCCAGGCCCAUAGUGCCAGGCGUUCUGGAUGAGGGUGAAAAAUCUCCCCUUCUGCUUGCGACAAAAGGUCUCUGCGCAGCGGGAGAGGCCACGGGUCUUCGUACAGCAUAUGUAUGAUCUCCGCUAGCCAAUAUUUCCCUGGCCACUUCGGAGCUAUUAGUAUUAAUGUCAGUCCCUCCUCCCUCACUCUGUGAAGUGUUGGGGAUAUCAACGCUAUCGGUGGGAAUGCGUAAAGGAGAGCGCGAGGUCAUUCGUGCGCCAGCGCAUCUAUCCCCAGAGGCGCGCUCUUGUCUUUCAGGGAGAAAAACAGAGGACACUGAGCAUUGUCAUGGGACAUGAACAGAUCCACUGUCGCCCUGCCGUAUAUGCUUCAAAUCUGCUCGACCACCUCCCUGUGCAAUUUCCACUCCCCGUAGAGGGGAUUGCCCCUGGACAGCAGAUCCGCACCCUGGUUCAUGACACCCUGUACGUGCGUCGCUCUCAGGGAUAAAAGAUUGGCAUUGCCCCAUAGAAUCAGUUUGCGUGCUAACGUGUGCAAGGGAAGUGAUCUGAGACCUCCCUGUCUGUUUAUGUAGGCCACAACUGUUGUGUUGUCCGUUCUCACGAGAACAUGAUGCCCUUUCAGAAAAGGGAGAAAAUGCUUCAGCGUUAGAAAAACGGCUAGCAUUUCCAGAUAGUUUAUGUGAAGACUGGACAGAUGAGGACCCCAUCUUCCAUUCACUAUCCUGCCCUCAUGAAUGCCCCCCCAACUGGACAAUGAUGCGUCCGUUGUUAUGACUUUCCUGGCUCGAACCAUGCCCAUGGGAACCCCCUGAAUCAGAAAGUUCGGGUGUCUCCACUGGCGCAGUGCCAAAACUGCCUCUGACGUCACUCUCACUCUCCUCUGGGAGUGACGUAUCGGGUCCAGCCUCAGAGACGCUACCCAGCGCUGAAACUCUCUCAUGAACAGUCUGCCUAAGGGAAUAACUAUCAGGGCUGAGGCCAUCAGUCCUAAUAGUCUGAGGCAUGUGCGAAAGGAAACGCUUUUUCCCAUCUGAAAAUCUGUCAUGCAACGAGUGAAUUUUCUCACCCUGUCUUCCGACAGUCGCGCUUUGAACGUCACCGAGUUCAGUGACAGCCCCAGAUAGGUUAUAGACUGCGUGGGAAUUAAAACACUCUUUUCGAUGUUUAAUUUCAAACCCAGUUUCUGUAUAUGUUCUAGAAGCAUAGCUGUGUGUUCUUUCGCUUCUCGCUCUGACCGAGCUGUCACCAGCCAAUCAUCUAUGUAAGUAGCGAGACGAAUGCCCUUCUCCCUGAGCGGGGUCAGGGCCGCUUCUGUACAUUUUACAAAUACCCGUGGGCUGAGAGACAGUCCAAACGGUAGAACCAGAUAUUCGUAUGCCACUCCAAGGAAAGCAAACCUCAGGAAUUUCCUGUGAGGUGGAUAUAUCUUUAUGUGAAAAUAUGCGUCUUUCAGGUCGAUCGACGUAAACCAAUCGCCCUGGCGCACUAGUUUCAGGAGUGUAGAAUGAGUGAGCAUCCUGAACUUGUACUUCCUUAAGUAUUUGUUCAGUGCACGCAGAUCUAAUAUGGGACGAAGAGCUUGAGUCCCCUUCUUUGGGACGAGGAAGUAUCUCGAGUAAAACCCGCUGUGGUUCUGCUCGGUUGGGACCACUAUUAUUGCCUUUUUGUUCAACAGAGAGGAAAUUUCCUCCUGAAAAACAUGCUUUAAGUCUCCCCGCACCUGAGAAUGAAUUAUCCCUUUGAAAUGCGGGGGGGGAAGCGGCAAACUGCAGUCUGUACCCGAAUUGUAUCGUCUUUAAUACCCAGCGGGACUGUGUGCAUUCUCGCCAACUGUUUAUUUGCAGCGUUCUGGCGCCAUCAUGUGGCUGAGCGGUAGACGAGUUUGGGGUCUGUACUGCGCAUGCAUGGGGACUUUGCGCUUGGACAGAGUUUAAGUGUCUCAUCACCUCUAAGGGAGCAAUAACUCCCCGAGGUGAUGUCGUAUCGUGUUCUGUUAAUAUGUUUUGCAACAUUUUUUGGGGAAUUGUGUUUUGCAACAUGUUCUGGGAAUACAGUGAAAACUUUAUUGAGUUUUGAACAUGAAAAGUGCUUGUGACUUGUGGGUGGGUGUGCACCACUGCACCAUCUCUCGUCCUUUUCACUGCUGUGCUUCCCCUGGCCCAACCGGGCUCUGUUUUCCACACAGAACAUCUGGGAAUUUCGAAACUCGUCCCUUGUCGAACGUUGAACAUUUGGGGGUUGGGAGCUCGCGAACAGGGGGGCUGUGGGCUCCUUUCCCCAGGGAAGACCCCAUCAAACUGCCUUCUUCUUCCUCCUCGCUCCCUGAGUGUGGGAUUGAGGAUGAGGUUGAGGAGCUGACUGAACCGUCUGAGCCGUAGCAGGCGGGAAGUUCUUUCUAGGCCAGGCAGUUCUCUGUUCUGGGACUCCGCUGUGACCCGCUGCAUUCACAUUCGGUCUCUGCCAUCUAGGAAUGCGAUAGCUGGGGGGUGGGCGGGCCGUAACUUGUGCGAAGGUCUGCCGAGGUGGCUGAGGGGGUGCACUCUGCGUCUUCCUAGGCAAACAGAGCUGCAAAGCCUCAUCGUCCCUUUUCUUUUCCUCGCAUCUCUUUUGCAUCAGCGUCAGAGCCGAGCCAAAGAUGUCAUCUGUGACGACCGGUGCGUCCAGGAUGGCUUCUUUUUCCCUGUCAGAGAGAUUUGCCAAAUUAAGCCAACGUCCUCUCUCUUGAAUGACCAUUGUGGCCAUGGCCUUGCCCGCGGCCUGCACCGCGCAUCUCUGAAGACGGAGAGAAAGAUCGGUAACUACACAGAUCUCCUCCCAGUGCGUCUCACCUGGCGUGGUCGAUGCUUCGUCCUGCAGUUCCGCUUGGUACGCGGUCAGCAUUGAGAUUGCGUUCAGAGCCCUGACAGAGAGAGCGACUGCCCUAUAAGCGCGUUCCGUCAUGCUUAACUGAAAACGGUCCGCUUUGGAUGGCAAUGUCGGAUUCGCAGCUGCUGUGUGCUUUGGGUGCAGAUGCGCGGCGACUAAUGGCUCCAUGGGGGGCAUUCGGAGAAGUCCUACUUUCUCCAUUCCCUCCACAUCGAGAGCGGAUCCUCCCUGCACGGGCAAUUUGCUGGUGAACGGUUUGUCCUUCCAGGUGAUAGAAACUUCUUCCAGGAGCUCUGGAAACACAGGAAGGAGCUGCCGUGCUGCCCGUUUUGCACUCAGCAGCCAUUUGCCCUCGUAGCGAGACUUUGCAGUCUCUGCUACCACGGUCGGCCACGGAAUGUUUAGUUUCUCUGCAGCGCGUUUGCACACAUCUUGCAGAUCAACACUAAGUAGCGGGGCACCGCCCGUGUCUUCUGUGGGUCCCGCCGUGGCGAGGGGUAUUACCGAGUGCGCAGGGGGAAGGAAAGGGGAGUCCUCGAAAUCCUCCUCUUCCUCAGAAAGGAGGUAAUCCGAUUGUCCCUCUUCCUCAAAAUCGAGCGCGUCCUCCUCAUCGUCCGUACUGAGCACGUUUGGCAGAGGGACGCAAACAUCGAGCUGUUCACCCCAAGAUAAAGCUGCCGUGGGGGGCAGCUCUACAGGAAUGGGUACCUGUGGAGUGGUAGCUGGAACAGGGCUAGGUGACAUGAGGGGAUCCUGGCCUGACAGACUAGCUUGGCGUGCUAGUCUGCGACGAAGGCUCUUCAUAGUGAAGCGUGUGCAAUGUUCACAGGAACCUGGGUUAUCGAUCGCCAAUUGAGCAUGUUUCAGCCCAAGACAUGCAGAGCAGACCUGGUGUGUGUCCUUGCAUGCAGGGGCAUCGGACUGGGGGGGUAAAGGGUACCGAGUACCCAGGGCCCGAGGCAGGGGGGCCCUUAGAAGUCAGUUUUCUAUACAUACAUAUACAUGCACUAACAUUUGUAUAGCAUUUAUGUACAAAUAAAAAAGUUCCUGUGCAAAAAUAAACCCACCACCCCUCUCGAAUCAAUGUAAAUGGUACGACCCGCAGGUCAGGUGCUUCUGCUGCGGACCUGCGGUGAAUCAGUUAAUGAGACAGGAGCUGGAGGAGUUAACCGUAAUAACUAGGAAGACAGGGGAGUCAUGUCUUUCCUUAAGAAAGAAAAGUCAGGGGCUCAAAAACGAAAAGAAAAAAAGAUAAAGGAGAGAAAGGCAAAUGAGGGCAAGCAGUUGCUCACGCUGUUUUUUGAAAAGAAAGGUGAGCUCCAAAUGCAUCGCAAAAGCAUUGACAUUGUUUUAACAUAAAUAUCUACUCCAGGUAGAAUAGCAUACAUUUAUGUUUGUCGAUUUGAAUAAUAUACCAAUACUUUAUAGUAUCACACCCUACAUAGUGAGCAAACAAUAUUUCUGUGUAAAUAACAGGGAGUGAGAAGCAGACUGAGGCGGAGCUGGGAGCUCAACAUACUGCCACUCCAGGUAGCUGCACAGCUUGUCUCCUCAUCUGCUGCAGUUCUCCCCAGAGUCAGAAGUUUACAUGAAAACACUGUAUAUUUCCCUCAAUUAACACCCGCGAAAACACAGAUCGUUAGCGCCUAUUUUACCGCAUUGUUAUGCAAAUUAGCUCACGCACGCUCUUACAUUAAGUACAGGAUUGUUCUCAGUUUAAUGCACAUCUUAAUGAUUGAAAAUGACUUAUUUUAAAACGUAAUUCAAAGACUGAAUGUCUAGUUUGGCGGUUAGUGUACCCUGUGAUUCUAUAGUCUGCAUUUAUUUUAAACAGACAAAUAAUCAGCAAUUAACUUGUACUUAGCCUACACUUUAAAAAAGGUAUUGUGACAAUAAAGGAUAUUUUAGCAACCAUUUGAAGCCAUAUAUUUCAGUUUCAGAC